AUGAGAAUAAGUGGUUGGAAAGAAAAUUUAUUAUCCGCCGGAGGGAAGGAAAUUCUCCUCAAAUCUAUAGUACAAGCUAUCCCCACCUAUGCUAUGUCCGUCUUUAAAAUUCCUAAAAAGAUUUGCAAAGGAAUCAUUGACGCGAUGGCGCAUUUCUGGUGGGGUGACGAGGACAAUCAGAAGAGGAUGCAUUGGAUGGCCUGGUGGAAGAUGUGUGUCCCUAAAAAUCAAGGAGGUAUGGGCUUCAGAGACAUACAUUGUUUCAAUUUAGCAUUGUUAGCUAAACAAGCGUGGCGUCUUCUAGAUAAUCCGGAUUCCUUAUGUGCUACUAUAUUGAGAGCUAAGUAUUUCCCUGACGGUGAUUUGGUGAAUGCAACUUUAAAAAAAGGCUCCUCCUUCACUUGGCAAAGUAUUAUGGCGGGAGUAAACUCUCUAAAACAUGGUUAUAUAUGGCGAGUUGGAAAUGGACAAAAUAUUGACAUUUGGGAAGAUGCUUGGAUCCCAAAUUGUGCAAAUAGGAAAAUUAUUACUCCCAGAGGAGGGCACCUCCUGUCUAGGGUUUCAGAUCUUAUUGACCCAGUCACAAGUUCUUGGGAUGAAGAUUUGAUGAGACAAACAUUGUGGCCAAUUGAUGCUCAGAGAGUCCUCUCCAUCCCGCUUCCGCUGCAUAAUAUGUCAGACUUCAUUGCUUGGAGCUACACAAAGAAUGGU
rnacentral:rRNA from 1 species